rnacentral:lncRNA from 1 species
CCGACCAUCGCCAGUCGUUCAUAACUCCUCACCGGGGCAUCAGGACUUCUCCUUCGCACAUGCCCGAACCACCUCAGUCUCGCUUCUCGCAUCUUCUCAUCUAUCGGGGCUACCCCCACCUUCUGUCGAAUAACUUCAUUCUUAAUCUUAUCUAGCCUGGUGUGCCCACACAUCCACCUAAGCAUCCUCAUCUCAGCAACCUUCAUUCUCUGAACAUN